UUGGAGGGCAAGUCUGGUGCCAGCAGCCGCGGUAAUUCCAGCUCCAAUAGCGUAUAUUAAAGUUGUUGCAGUUAAAAAGCUCGUAGUUGAACUUCGGGAUCAAUGGAUCGGUCAUGCCGUUGGUAUGUACUGGUCACAUUGGUUCUCACCUUCUAAGGAACCAUGAUGUCAUUCAUUUGAUGUUGUGGGGAAUUAGGACUGUUACCUUGAAAAAAUUAGAGUGUUUAAAGCAGGCUAACGCUUGAAUACAUUAGCAUGGAAUAAUGAAAUAGGACAUCGCAUUCUAUUUUGUUGGUUUCUAGGAUCGAUGUAAUGAUUAAUAGGGAUAGUUGGGGGCAUUAGUAUUCAAUUGUCAGAGGUGAAAUUCUUGGAUUUAUUGAAGACUAACUACUGCGAAAGCAUUUGCCAAGGAUGUUUUCAUUAAUCAAGAACGAAAGUUAGGGGAUCGAAGACGAUCAGAUACCGUCGUAGUCUUAACCAUAAACUAUGCCGACUAGGGAUCGGAUGAUGUUGAUUUUUUAAUGACUCAUUCGGCGCCUUACGGGAAAC
rnacentral:rRNA from 1 species